rnacentral:tRNA from 1 species
GGUAGAGCAGAGGACUGAAAAUCCUCG